UGCAGAGGUGCUGUUGGAAGCUGUGUUUCUCAGUGUCGACCCGUACAUGAGGUCGUUCAGCAAAACCCACAUGAAGGAGGGAGAUGUGAUGAUUGGAGGUCAGGUGGCCAAAGUGAUCCAGAGUAAAAAUCCAGCAUUUCCUGUGGGAAGCCACGUUGUGAGUAAUAGCGGGUGGAGAACCCACACACUCAGUGAUGG